rnacentral:rRNA from 1 species
UACGUAGGCAGCGAGCGUUGUUCGGAGUUACUGGGCGUAAAGGGUGUGUAGGCGGUUUUUUAAGUUUGGUGUGAAAUCUCCCGGCUCAACUGGGAGGGUGCGCCGAAUACUGAAUGACUUGGAGUGCGGGAGAGGAGAGUGGAAUUCCUGGUGUAGCGGUGAAAUGCGUAGAUAUCAGGAGGAACACCGGUGGUGUAGACGGCUCUCUGGACCGUAACUGACGCUGAGACACGAAAGCGUGGGUAGCAAACAGG